CCUACGGGAGGCAGCAGUGGGGAAUAUUGGGCAAUGGGCGCAAGCCUGACCCAGCAACGCCGCGUGAAGGAAGAAGGCUUUCGGGUUGUAAACUUCUUUUAAGAGGGAAGAGCAGAAGACGGUACCUCUUGAAUAAGCCACGGCUAACUACGUGCCAGCAGCCGCGGUAAUACGUAGGAGGCAAGCGUUGUCCGGGUUUACUGGGGGUAAAGGGCGUGCAGCCGGGAAGACAAGUCAGAUGUGAAAUCCCGCGGCUGAACCGCGGAACUGCAUUUGAAACUGUUUUUCUUGAGUACCGGAGAGGUCAUCGGAAUUCCAUGUGUAGCGGUGAAAUGCGUAGAUAUAAGGAAGAAAACCAGUGGCGAAGGCGGAUGACUGGAAGGCAACUGACGGUGAGGCGCGAAAGCGUGGGGAGCAAACAGGAUUAGAUACCCCAGUAGUC
rnacentral:rRNA from 1 species